GAUGAACGCUGGCGGCGUGCCUAAUACAUGCAAGUCGAGCGAACGGACGAGAAGUUUGCGUCUCUGAUGUUAUCGGCGGACGGGUGAGUAACACGUGGAUAACAUACCUAUAAGACUGGGAUAACUUCGGGAAACCGGAGCUAAUACCGGAUGAUAUUUUGAACUGCAUGGUUCAAAAGUUAAAGACGGUCUUGCUGUCACUUAUAGACGGAUCCGCGCUGCAUUAGUUAGUUGGUAAGGUAACGGCUUACCAAGGCAAGGAUGGAUAGCCGACCUGAGAGGGUGAUCGGACAGCUGGGAAGAGAGGCUGAGCAGAGACACCGGCACGAGGACGCGGCCGGGAAUCUUACGCGAGGGGGGAGUGGGGGAUAUUGGAACGCCGGGGGAGGGAUGAAGGUGUUCGGAUGGGUGAACUAUGUAAGUAGUAGAGUUCAAAAGUGUUAGUAACCGUGAAGAUCAUGACAGUACCGGAAGAGAAAGCCACGGCUAACUACGUG
rnacentral:rRNA from 1 species